GAUGAACGCUGGCGGCGUGCUUAACACAUGCAAGGUCGAACGAUGAAGCCCAGCUUUGCUGGGUGGAUUAGUGGCGAACGGGUGAGUAACACGUGAGUAACCUGCCCUUGACUCUGGGAUAAGCCCGGGAAACUGGGUCUAAUACCGGAUAGGAGCGCCUGUCGCAUGACGGGUGCUGGAAAGAUUUUUCGGUCAUGGAUGGACUCGCGGCCUAUCAACUUGUUGGUGAGGUAAUGGCUCACCAAGGCGACGACGGGUAGCCGGCCUGAGAGGGUGACCGGCCACACUGGGACUGAGACACGGCCCAGACUCCUACGGGAGGCAGCAGUGGGGAAUAUUGCACAAUGGGCGGAAGCAUGAUGCA
rnacentral:rRNA from 1 species